GCAGGCUUUGUUGAGAAAGACAGAAGAAUGCCGAGGACACGGUCGCAUGAUUACCUAUCAUUACGGAACCGAGCUAAAAGCAGAGGAUGAUGUCCAAUACACAGCAAGCUGCAGUCCUGGGUCUGAAGACUCCUGAAACUCCAAGAUUGAAGAGAAGCAGAGCCAGCGUUUAAGGCGGCAGAUCACACAGACCGGAGAGAAAGGCAUUCUAAUAUAAUCGCGACCAACAGACAAAGCUGAUAACCCUGACCUGGGAGGCUCCUCGCUCGCUUACACUCUCAUGCUGCUGCUUACCAACGGGCAAAUGCACAGCUGGUGUGGGAGGUGGGAACACUAGCAAUAAAAUUGGUUGCAA